rnacentral:rRNA from 1 species
GAUGAACGCUGGCGGCGUGCCUAAUACAUGCCAGUCGAGCGAACGGACGCGACGCUUGCUUCUCUGAUGUUAGCGGCGGACGGGUGUGUAACACGUGUAUAACCUACCUAUCAGACUGGGAUAACUUCGGGAAACCGGAGCUAAUACCGGAUGAUCUUUUGAACCGCAUGGUUCAAAAGUGAAAGACGGUCUUGCUGUCACUUAUAGCUGGUUCCGCGCUGCAUUAGCUGGUUGGUAAGGUAACGGCUUAUCAAGGCAACGAUGCAUAGCCGGCCUGAGAGGGUGAUCGGCCACACUGGAAGUGGGACACGGACCAGACUACUACGGGAGGCAGCAGUAGCGAAUCUGACGCAGUGGGCGAAAGCCUGACGGAGCAAGGCCGCGUGAGUGAUGAAGGUCCUCGGAUCGUAAAACUGUGUUAUGAGGGAAGAACAGAUGUGUAAGGAACUGUGCACAGCGUGACGGUACCGAAUCAGAAAGCAACGGCUAACUACGUG